GUUUCUAGUUUGGACGAGCAAAGAGCGGCGGAUUGUAAAAAUUUGGCAUUUGUUUGCUAGUCUGCAGCGGGUCGUUUAAGUAGUUUAGAGGAUUGUAAAUCUAAAAUAAUAUUUUGUUUUGCAAUUGCAAUUUCACCUAACCAUAAAGUAUUUGAUUACAUCAAACACAUUUUCUUGCAGUUGCAAUACCUAGAAAUUUCUCUAACCUUUCCGCAAAUUAGUUUUUAGAACAUAUUUUCGGAAAUCCCCGACCACAAAGCACUUUAUUGGAUUUUGCUUAAUUUCAUUUGAGUGCACUGACAACGAAUUUCCAUCUCCAGUGAUAACAUAUCGGCAUUUCCUGGCGUUUCUAUAUAUAACCCACUUUUCCGAGGCAUGUGAGAGGGAGAGAGCAUCAAAACAAAAACACGCGCAAUGUUUACAUUUUUCUUUGUUGUCGCAACGGCUUUUUGUGACCCAACUGUCAAAUGGGCAAUCAACUUUGACUGAGAGAAAGCGACUUUCUCCCGUUUUCUCUCCAACUGUCAAGCUCGUUUUGCAGCCGAGCUUUUGGCCUUUGCAGCAAGGAAAAUACACGUUUUAUUAAAUUACCAAAAAAGUAUUAUUAGUGUUUUUGCGUUUGUAUUUUGUUAUUAGAAUUUCCCUAAAACAACGUAAUCGUAAUCACUCAUUAAUGCGGCUGAAUGUCAGCUUGUCUGCGCUUUCGGGUCUUCCUAGGGUAUUUUGCUGCGUUCUGAGAGGUUCAAGCUGACCGAUUGACCUACCACCGCAUAUGUAAUAGCCUCACACGCACACACCCCCGCUCACCUCGGCACCAACACAUGUACAAGUGUGAAAAAAUUUCUAAUAGCUCACUGCGAAGAAAGUGAAAGCAGCUUUUUAUUAUGUCCCUCUAAUCUGUUAUUAG